rnacentral:rRNA from 1 species
GUGUAAGUUGUUAAGGGCACACGGUGGAUGCCUUGGCAUCAGGAGCCGAUGAAGGACGUGUGAAUCUGCGAUAAGCCUCGGGGAGCCGAUAACUGGGCGUGGAUCCGAGGAUUUCCGAAUGGGGAAACCUCGCUCAUCGUUUUGGUGGGUGACCGCUGGUUGAAUGUAUAGGCCAGUUGGGGGGAACGCGGGGAAGUGAAACAUCUCAGUACCCGCAGGAAGAGAAAAUAAUAAUGAUUCUGUUAGUAGUGGCGAGCGAACGCGGAUGAGGCUAAACCUGUGGUGUGUGAUAGCGGUUAGGUGUUGCAUCAUGGGUGUUGUGGGAGUUGUUGUGGUGGUUCUAACUGGUCACCGGCGUAGUGCAUGAUGGUAGGCGAACUGGCUUGGAAUGGUCGACCGUAGUGGGUGAGAGUCCCGUAGUUGAAAGUGUUGUGUGUGCGUUGACAAUGUCCCGAGUAGCACGGGGCUCGUGGAAUCUCGUGUGAAUCUGCCAGGACCACCUGGUAAGUCUAAAUACUUCCUGAUGACCGAUAGUGGAUCAGUACCGUGAGGGAAUGGUGAAAAGUACCCCGGGAGGGGAGUGAAAUAGUACCUGAAACCGUGUGCUUACAAGCCGUUAUAGCCCCCCUUUUGUGUGGGGUGGUGGCGUGCCUUUUGAAGAAUGAGCCUGCGAGUUAGUGUUUUGUCGCGAGGUUAACCCGUGUGGGGUAGUCGUAGCGAAAGCGAGUC